UUCAGGUAUGGUGAUAUCGUUCCAACGACAAUCAUUGGAAAGAUAUUUGGUGGAAUUUGUUCCUUGUCUGGUGUAUUGGUGAUUGCGCUACCGGUCCCGGUGAUUGUUUCCCAU
rfam:Echinostoma caproni strain Egypt genome assembly, scaffold: ECPE_scaffold0001120